UGCAGCUCCCGGUACGUCCCUCAGUGU
rnacentral:piRNA from 1 species